AUUGAACGCUGGCGGCAGGCCUAACACAUGCAAGUCGAGCGGAUGAGUGGAGCUUGCUCCAUGAUUCAGCGGCGGACGGGUGAGUAAUGCCUAGGAAUCUGCCUGGUAGUGGGGGACAACGUUUCGAAAGGAACGCUAAUACCGCAUACGUCCUACGGGAGAAAGCAGGGGGACCUUCGGGCCUUGCGCUAUCAGAUGAGCCUAGGUCGGAUUAGCUAGUAGGUGAGGUAAUGGCUCACCUAGGCGACGAUCCGUAACUGGUCUGAGAGGAUGAUCAGUCACACUGGAACUGAGACACGGUCCAGACUCCUACGGAGGCAGCAGUGGGGAAUAUUGGACAAUGGGCGAAAGCCUGAUCCAGCCAUGCGCGUGUGUGAAGAAGGUCUUCGGAUUGUAAAG
rnacentral:rRNA from 1 species